rnacentral:rRNA from 1 species
CAAGGAAUUUUCCCCAAUGGGCGCAAGCCUGGGGGAGCAACGCCGCGUGCAGGACGACGGCCUUCGGGUUGUAAACUGCUUUUGCGUGGGACGAUAACGACGGUACCACGCGAAUCAGCCCCGGCUAACUCUGUGCCAGCAGCCGCGGUAAUACAGAGGGGGCAAGCGUUGUCCGGACUUAUUGGGUUUAAAGGGUACGUAGGCGGAUGAUUAAGUCCGUGGUGAAAGCUCUCGGCUCAACCGGGAAACUGCCAUGGAUACUGGUUAUCUUGAGUACAGUAGAGGUGGGCGGAAUUCAUGGUGUAGCGGUGAAAUGCAUAGAUACCAUGAGGAACACCGAUAGGGAAGCCAGCUCACUGGACUGUAACUGACGCUGAGGUACGAAAGCGUGGGGAGCGAACAGGAUUAGAUACCCCUGUAGUCC